GCCUGGCUGGCUCAGUUGGUAGAGCAUGUGACUCUUGAUCUCAAGAUUAUGGGUUGGAGCCCCACGCUGGGUA